GCCGCUAUAGCUCAGCGGUAGAGCACUGGUCUCGUAAACCAGGGGUCGUGAGUUCGAUCCUCACUGGCGGCA
rnacentral:tRNA from 1 species